AGGUGGCGUCACUGAGAAUAGCAAUGAUCAGAUUCGUGAUUCCGUGGUAGAGAUUAAGAAAAUACGGGAUUCUAUUCUUCGUAAGGAAUUCAUACUUCAAGAUGGAAGUGCUCAAUGUGAUAUGGACAUUCAUAAAAUUAAGAUGGACAUUCAGAAAAUUAAGACUGAAAAGAAGAUGACAAAAGAAGUGUUGUCAACAAUGGAGAAAUAUAAGGAACCUAGCUCAAAUAUAAUGAAAGUUGCCAAUCUAA